rnacentral:lncRNA from 1 species
CUUCGACAAACCGGAAAAGGCACCACUACUUCAAACCUUCAACUUUUACCUGCAAAAAUGCCAAAAUUUCCAGAGGGCAUAAAAUAUGUGAGUGUUCCGCCUCCAGGUCGUUGGGUGUGGAAUGAUGAAUCCCAAACUUUGGAGUUUAUUCGUUCUGGCCCAGUCGAGGAGAAAGUUUUGAGGAAAAAGAGUCAAACUAAUGUCAGUGUCAACGAGCUGCACCUGCGAGCAGAGUGGCUGGCUGAGGUCUGUACUUUGAACCGUAGGGGGCGCCAAAGCAUCAGGAACAGCCUGCGCCCUGCUCAUCUGGACGCAUACAGGUCCUCAGUGAUGGAGAGGAAAGGGGACCGAGUCACCAUCCACGACGUUAAACGCAAGUGUCAAUAUGAGCAUUAAUAACAGGAGUUUGAUGUGUUUGCAGAGGACGCAUCAGAGAAGAAUAGAUUAGAGAGAUUAUUUGCAUC